rnacentral:lncRNA from 1 species
GGCGAUGCCUGGGUACAUGGUGGUGCCACCCGACAGCACCGUGUUGGCGUAGAGGUCCUUGCGGAUGUCGACGUCGCACUUCAUGAUGGAGUUGAAGGUAGUUUCGUGGAUGCCGCAGGAUUCCAUGCCCAGGAAGGAGGGCUGGAAGAGCGCCUCGGGGCAGCGGAAGCGCUCGUUGCCGAUGGUGAUGACCUGGCCGUCGGGCAGCUCGUAGCUCUUCUCCAGGGAGGAGGAGGACGCGGCAGUGGCCAUCUCCUGCUCGAAGUCCAGGGCGACGUAGCACAGCUUCUCCUUGAUGUCCCGCACGAUCUCCCGCUCGGCCGUGGUGGUGAAGCUGUAGCCCCGCUCCGUCAGGAUCUUCAUGAGGUAGUCGGUGUGGUGCCAGAUCUUCUCCAUGUCGUCCCAGUUGGUGACGAUGCCGUGCUCGAUGGGGUACUUGAGGGUCAGGAUGCCUCUCUUGCUCUGGGCCUCGUCCCCCACGUAGGAGUCCUUCUGGCCCAUGCCCACCAUCACGCCCUGGUGUCGGGGGCGCCCCACGAUGGAGGGGAAGACGGCCCGGGGAGCAUCGUCGCCCGCAAAGCCGGCCUUGCACAUGCCGGAGCCGUUGUCGACCACGAGCGCAGCAAUAUCGUCAUCCAUGGCGAACUGGUAGCGGUGUAGACCGGCGGCGAAGGCGGAGCGGCAAGGGCGAGGGGCCUGUGCUGGCGGAGUGGACGCGGUCUC